UGAGACCUUGCUAGUGGGUUUAUAAGGGUUUGAGUCACUCCAUCCAUUGCCAAUUGAUUUUAGAUGUGAACCCCAGAUUACUUUAUCAUGGUAUACCCAAGGAAAAAGCAGCUAAGAAGAGGAAAUUGAACACAGGAGAAGCAUCAUCAACUCAAACUCAAACUCAGGCCAAGGGUAGCAAAAAGCAGCCAAAGACCAAAAAUGAGCUUAGAGAAUCGACAAAGAGAAGAGCUGAACAACAGAAGAAAAAGAGGGAUGAAAAGAAGGCAGCAGCAAGGGCAUCAAAAGCAUCAACAACUACAGCUGCUUCAAGCAAGGGCAGACCUCCAAAAGCUCCUUCAAGCAAGGGAAGACCAGCUUCUUCUUCACAGGCUUCAUCAAGGUCAUCUGCAAGGAUCCGGGAAAAUGCAAACAAUGGUGGAAAAUAGAGCAGGAGCUGUAUGGGUUAGCAACCAAGGUUAGGUUAUGAUUUAGAGAUGCAUGUUGCAAUUUUUUGUGCAGCCUUGUGCUAUGCCAGAAGGUUGCUAGGUCUAAUAUUUUGUUUAGAUUAUUAGACCUAUGAUUUUGUGCA